rnacentral:sRNA from 1 species
CUGGACGCAGGCUGCGGGAUGGCAUCGCCGCUACAGUUGAUGCAGUGACGAGAUUUUUUUUGCUUCUUGCGUUAGGUCAUUUUACUUACUACAAGUAAUGGGUACUAUGUACGCCGGCUAUUUUCUCACUCACGAGAGA